rnacentral:rRNA from 1 species
AACGAACGCUGGCGGCAUGCCUAACACAUGCAAGUCGAACGAACCCUUCGGGGUUAGUGGCGCACGGGUGCGUAACGCGUGGGAAUCUGCCCUUGGCUUCGGAAUAACAGUUAGAAAUGACUGCUAAUACCGGAUGAUGUCCCCCUGAGAGAUCUUGGGGACCAAAGAUUUAUCGGCCAGGGAUGAGCCCGCGUAGGAUUAGGUAGUUGGUGGGGUAAAGGCCUACCAAGCCGACGAUCCUUAGCUGGUCUGAGAGGAUGAUCAGCCACACUGGGACUGAGACACGGCCCAGACUCCUACGGGAGGCAGCAGUGGGGAAUAUUGGACAAUGGGGGGAACCCUGAUCCAGCAAUGCCGCGUGAGUGAUGAAGGCCUUAGGGUUGUAAAGCUCUUUUACCAGGGAUGAUAAUGACAGUACCUGGAGAAUAAGCUCCGGCUAACUCCGUGCCAGCCGCCGCGGUAA